UACGUAGGGUGCAAGCGUUAAUCGGAAUUACUGGGCGUAAAGCGUGCGCAGGCGGUUUUGUAAGUCAGAUGUGAAAUCCCCGGGCUUAACCUGGGAACUGCGUUUGAAACUACAAGGCUAGAGUGUGGCAGAGGGGGGUGGAAUUCCACGUGUAGCAGUGAAAUGCGUAGAGAUGUGGAGGAACACCGAUGGCGAAGGCAGCCCCCUGGGUUAACACUGACGCUCAGGCACGAAAGCAUGGGGAGCAAAAGGG
rnacentral:rRNA from 1 species